AGUUCCGCCUCCACGCCACGCCUGCUCGCCGAAGCCGUGUCCGAGGUUCCGGCUGCCGCCACCGCCUCUGCCCCGGCUAUAAAGGCGCGCCCUUUGGCCGCCCCGCUCCUCCUCCUCUCUUCGCCCGGGCCGCGCUGCGCCUUCCGCCUCCUCGCCGCGCUCUGACCGGCCCGCUCCUCCUCUCUUCGCCCGGGCCGCGCCUUCGCCUCCUCGCCGCGCUCCGGCCGGUCUGCGCCGCCUCCUCUCUUCGUCCGGGCCGCGCCUUCGCCUCCUCGCCACGCUCUGGCCGGUCUGCGCCUCCUCCACUCUUCGUCCGGGCCGUGCCUUUCUCCUCCUCGCCGCGCUCUGCCCGGUUUGCUCCUCCUCCUCCUCCCCUCUUCAUCCGGGCCGUGCCUCUGUCCUCCUCGAGUCGCAUUUUAUCUUGCUCGUCCCCGGUCGAUUCGUCCGUUUAGAACCGCGUCUGGAUUUGGUUUUGCUCGUCCUCGCCGUCGCCGGUUUAGAUAAAGAAUCCCGCCUGAUUUGAUUUUGCUCGUUCUCGCCGCCGUUCGUCCGUUUAAGUCGCGACUGAUUUGAUUUCGCUCGUGCUCGAUUCGUCGGUUUAGAAUCGCUUCCCCUGAUUUAGUUCUGCUCGUCCUCGCCGUCGUCCGUUUUUCCUCGUCCUCGCCGUUGCCCCGAUGCGCUCGCGUGUUCUUGGUCCGUCUCGUCGAGGGUCUCCGUCUGGUUUGCGGUUGAGAAAUUUCUGCGUGCGCUUCUUCUGUUAUCUGAGAGACACUUUGGAUCCUGCGUUUCUUGUUCGUGUCAGCGCGAGUGUUACAGGAACGGUCGGGGUCUUGGGUUUUGAAAUUGGGUUACGGCCGGAGAUGGGGAGACCGAUUGCAACUGUCAGUUUGCCGUGCUAGUUCAUCUCGGUUCCUGCGUUGUUCGUCGGUUGUUUUCAGAUCUCAAACGGCUAGCUUGUUCGUGUUCGUGUUCGUCCGUCAGAGACGUGCCCUUUGAUACUCUGGUUCCUCUGUCGAUUCUAACUGCUUGUGCGAUUCUGGGGCGUCAGAGCUUGUUUCCCUUUGGGCAGGCGUGUGUGCUCACAUCCUAGAUGCAGGGGUGAUUCGUUACGGUUGUUCUGAUGGGUGUUACUGCUUCUGCUCUUUUCAAUUGGUUAUUACUUCCUAUCAAUGCUUUGCUUCUGUUCCCAUAUACUGUUAGGCCGUGGGUGCCAUUUCUUGCAGGCAGGCAGAGCAGAAAAGUUUUAAAAGAUUGCAAACCAUGUGGCAUGCUGCCUGACUAAUUGAACACAUGCUGCUGCUACUGUUGGACAAGGUUUCCUUCUGUUAUUCCUCGUGUUGCUAUUUCCAUUUCCAUACGAGUACUAUAUGAGGUGCUGCUAGUUAGUCCCCCUUAGACUUCGUUUUAGAUUGCAUAGCAUAACUGCAGAAAUUUUUCAUUGCACACCUGGGCAUAUAAUUCUGUUGUGAGCAUAACUUCAGAAUUUAUUUUAUCUGUGAAAGCACGUUCAUCACAUGUUUUUUAUCAAUGCUGCUCACUUUUGUCACGUCCCUUUUGUUUGUCCUGUUAAAUUUUAUGGAGCAAAUUUUGUACUCACUGGUUAAAAUAUCGAGAAUGCUGACUUCUGUAUUUGUCGCUAUGUAAGCCAUGCACUUGGGAAGCCUGGGCGUGAUUAGGAUUUGGAUUGCAUAUAGAUUUUAUGCUAUGUUUGUUUAUAACCUGGUUGUGAUCUAAUAUAGUGUAAAUCUGCUAAUUUUCUUAGUUUAAUUUAUGUUCAACGCAAGUAACAUUUAUUUAGCCAAAUUUUGCUACUUCUGAGAACUUUGUUUUUAGAUGUGUUGUAUCCAUAAUUGCCUAUUCUGAUAUUUGCAUUGGUCUUUCUAUAUAAAGUCAUUGGCAUGUCAUGCUGUGACCUAUAUACCUCUGUUGCUUGGCAGUAUCUUUGCCCUUUGAUUCUGCUCAUCCUCGGUGUCGUCAGUUUAGAGCCGCGUCUGAUUUGAUUUUGAUCUCCUCGUCGUCGUCCGUUUAGAAUCUCGUCUGAUUAGAUUUUAUCGUCCUCGCUGUCGCCCUGAUGCGCUCGCAUGUUCUUGGGUCGUCUCGUCGAGGGUAUCCGUCUGGUUUGCGAACUAAAAUUUCUCUUUGAGAAAUUUCUGCGUCCGUUUCUGUUAUCUGAGAGACAUGCCAGAUCCUGUGUUUUCUGUUCGCGUCGGUGUGACGGUUGUAAGAACGAUCAGGUCUAGUUUCGAAAUUGGAUUACAUACGGAGACGGGGACCAAUGUCAGUUUGCCGUGCUAGUUCAGAUUGGUUUCACUUUCUGGAAUUCUUUAUAGCUUUCUGAGUUUAAUACUUGGGUCUUGCAUGUAUUAGCUUUCUGUUUGUACCCCUAUCUAUGUCUGACUGUGUGUGUGAUGUGCCCCUAUCUGUGUAUGUUUCUUUAUCUGUUUCAUGUGUGCAAGCGCUCUAUUGUCUGUGUGUGACUGUGUGUUUGACUGCUUAGAUGGGGUGAUUCUGAUUGUGUUACUGCUUAUAGAAUUUGUAGAUAGAUGGGUCUCUUUAUCCUCACUCCAUAUUCCAUUUUUCUCCCUACACUUCGCUCAAAUGAUAAGGGUGUUCCUCUUGCAUGUAUUCUCAUACAAUAUAAUAUAUAUAUAUUUUUAAUAAAAAUCGCUAAAAAUAAGGAGAAUUUGGCCAGCGUGAUUAGGGUCGCUCGUUUUUUAACUUUACUUUAGUGGAAUUUAACCGGACCUGUUCGUUUUGGCAUUUGAGUGUCCAAUUGGUUCCUUCUUCAUGCUUUGCUUGUGUUCCAAUGUCGUCUCCCCAUAUAUGGGGAUGUGUUCAGGGAUGCAAACCAUGUAGGCCAUUUCGAGCAGGCAGGGAUCCAGGGACGUGCAUUGGUCAUGCUUCUCUCCUACUGAUAGAUGAUAAUAGGCUGAGCAGGAAAAUUUGACUCUUGUAACACUCACUUGCUUGGCUUCCACUCCUUUGCGUGGCCGAUUUGGCAUCCAAUGCAUCCCAUGCCUAUCUUAUUUCUCACUCACUCAUCACAGCACCCAUUUCCCUGUUUUUGUUCCUUAUUUUCCUUGUCAUAAUAGUCAUGUUUACGAUGGUGUUUGACAAUGCAUUUUUUGUCAUAUCUGUAUUUCGUUAUGUCUUAUGUGGAUAUCAUAUACUUUUUUUUGUAUUACUGCUGUUCAGUCCACUGGAAUAAUGCUUUUCUAAGUAUUUCAGGUAGGAUAUAGACAAAUGUCACAUUUGCUCUUUUGUUGCUAAGGACGCUGAUGGGUUGGGUUUGCUUACAGGGCAGGACAGAUAAUUCUAUAAAGAAUCAUUGGAAUAUUUCUUUCAGAAAGAAGUUAGAUGUCUGGCACCAGAAAUAUUUUGGCAGUUCCAAGACUUCAUGAUGACUUCAAGAAUAAACAGAAGACGGCUGCUUCUGAGGGCCAUCUUGAUCUGAACAACUCAUCAUUCUAAUUUUAGCUCACCUCUACAGUCAUACAAACUGGCAUGCCAAGGACUGCUCAGGGUUCCUAUCGCUUUCUGUUUUACCAACUAAGGUUCAUCUUGUGACACAAAAUACAAUUUUGGUACAUGCAGACUCUUAAAUUUGGUGAUAAAGAAAAGGUACUCCCUAAUUUGCUCUCUGGCUCUCUUAAACUUGUCUUUGUUUGUAUAACAGUAGUGGCCUCCUGGCUUAUAGUUGGGUAAUGCAGAGAGAGGUCUGGAAUUGAAGCUAUAAACUAAAAUAAUGCAGAGUUGAAGGUUCUGAACUGGAAGCUUGAACAAACAGCUUACUUUUUUUUCAUGUCUUCGAUUAGUUUCAUCCUAUCUAUGUCUGUUUCUUGUGUGCAAGCACUCCAUUGUAUCUGUGUGACUGACUGUGUGUGUGACCGUGACUGUGCGUGUGCCUGACUGUGUGUGACCGUGACUGUGCGUGUGACUGACUGUUUGUGUGUGUGACUGACUGUGUGUGUAUGUCAGUGUGUGUGUUUGUUUGUCUGUUUCUUGUGCAAGCGCUCCAUUGUGUGUAUGUGUGUGUGUGUGUGACCGUGACUGUGCGUGUGAUUGACUGUUUUGUGUGUGACUGACUGUGUGUGUUUCUUUGUCUGUUUCUUGUGCGCAAGCGCUCGAUUGUUUGUGUGUGUGAUGUGACUGUGUGCCAUUUUAUGACUAUGACUGUGUAUUUGACUGUGUGUGUGUUGACUAUGUGUCAUUGUGCAAGCGCUCCAUAACUACCUAUUGGCACCUGAUAAUGCAUGGAUAUUUCUAUAUAAGGUCACUGGCAUGUUAUUUUAUGACCUACAUACCUCUGUAGUUGGUAGUAUCAUUGCCCUUUGGACACUCUUCAAUGCAUUGCUGUAUAUUUAUGAUGUUUGUGCUCAGAAUGAUGUAUAUGUAGAAUCCAGGGGUGGAUGGAGGUUUUCAUGAUGGCUAAUUUGAUUUAUUAUUAUGGUUGUUCUGAUGGUGUGCUUCUGCUGUUUGAACUGAAGUUGUGUAUCGCCCAUCAACCUGGUCUGUGUUUGUAUGUAUCUACCUAUGCAGCUGAAUUAUUUCCGGAUAGGACAGAGGUGCAAUGUUUACAUCCAUGGCAGAAGGUUCUUUAACACCGAACUCAUCAAAGGUCCUUGGGCUCAAGAGGAAGAUAACAAAAUUAUUGACCUUGUAAACAAGUAUGGACCAACAAAAAUGAUCUCAUUGCAAGUGGACGUAUAGGCAAGCCAUGUCGGGAGAGGUCAGCUACUAGAACUUCCUGCUACUGAUCCUGGGAUGUUCUGAACAUGCUCCGGAACAUGUUCAAUUUAUCCACCCUAGGACAGCCACUGCCAUGACACAGCAGGCUACUUGGCAUGCUCAGCGUGUUUACGUCGGUGGACUUCCUCCAAUCGCUAAUGAACAGAUGGUUGCUCUAUUCUUCAAUCAAGUUAUGGCUGCUAUCGGGGGAAACACAUUUGGUCCAGGUGAUGCAGUUGUUAAUAUGAAGCUGAUUUUUGAAUUCAUACAAAAACAUCUUAGCUGGCAUAAUCAUCUGACUGUGUGUGUGUGUGUGACUGACUGACUCUGUGUGUGUGGCUGUGUAUAUCUUGUGUGUGAGACUGACUGUGUGUGUUCUACGUCUUGUGUGUGUGAUUGACUGUUACUGUGUCUUGUGUGUGUGUGUGUGACUGACUGUUACUGUGGCUUGUGUGUGACUGUGACUCUGUGUGUUGGCUGACUGUGUGUGACUGUGACUCUGUGUGUUGGCUGACUCUGUGUGUGACUGUGUUUGUUUGUUUGUUUGUUUGCUUCAUGGUCUGUCUUGUAUGCUUUGCGUUCUUGUAUGCUUUGCGUGUCUUGUAUGCUUUGCUGAAUGAUUGGUGUUGUAUGAUUGGUGUUUUGUUUGUU